rnacentral:rRNA from 1 species
UACGGAGGGUGCAAGCGUUAAUCGGAAUUACUGGGCGUAAAGCGCACGCAGGUGGCUGAGUCAGUCGAUUGUGAAAGCCCUGGGCUUAACCUGGGAAUUGCAGUCGAUACUACUUAGCUAGAGUAUGGGAGAGGGCAGUGGAAUUCCCGGUGUAGCGGUGAAAUGCGUAGAUAUCGGGAGGAACAUCAGUGGCGAAAGCGGCACCCUGGCAUUAGCCUGACGCUCAGGUGCGAAAGCGUGGGGAGCGAACGGG